UAAAAAGGAGAAUAUAUUCCUCCUUGGCCC
rnacentral:piRNA from 1 species